rnacentral:rRNA from 1 species
AACGUAGGUGGCAAGCGUUAUCCGGAAUUACUGGGCGUAAAGGGUGUGCAGGCGGGGGAACAAGUGGUGUAUGAAAUCUCCCAGCUUAACUGGGAUAGGUUAUGCCAGACUGUUCUUCUAGAGGACGAGAGAGGGGGGUGGAAUUCCGGGUGUAGUGGUGGAAAUGCGUAGAGAUCCGGAGGAACCCCAGAGGCGAAGGCGGCCCCCUGGCUCGUACCUGACGCUCAGCCACGAAAGCAUGGGGAGCGAACGGG